rnacentral:rRNA from 1 species
UACGGAGGGUGCGAGCGUUGUCCGGAAUUAUUGGGCGUAAAGAGCUCGUAGGCGGUGUGUCACGUCGGCCGUGAAAACCUGCAGCUUAACUGUGGGCGUGCGGUCGAUACGGGCAUCACUGGAGUUCGGCAGGGGAGACUGGAAUUCCUGGUGUAGCGGUGAAAUGCGCAGAUAUCAGGAGGAACACCGGUGGCGAAGGCGGGUCUCUGGGCCGCAACUGACGCUGAGGAGCGAAAGCAUGGGGAGCGAACAGG